rnacentral:tRNA from 2 species
AAUCCACUGCCUUGAUCCACUUGGCUACAUCCGC